UACAAAUAGACAAGAAAACAACAGCAAAUAGAAACAAAAAACAACGGAAUAGCAAAAAGAAGGCUGGUAUUUUCAUUUUUGAUUAUUGUUCGGCUAUAAAAGCCAAAAACCUUUUCAUUGUAACGGAUGAACACACUACAAAAAUUCAAUACAAAAAACCAGCAAAAAAAAUCAGAAGAGGUGACUUUUAGUCUUUAUUCCGACUUGAUUUUCAUUUUCUUUAUUCCGACUUGAUUUUCAUUUUCUUUCUUCGUGUUUUUUUUAUUUAGUGUAAAAUAAAAAGAGGAAGGAACUAACCCGUGUUUGGAAGGCUUUGAAUCUCUGCUUGUUUCGUCAUAAUCGAAACUUGGUAGCGAUUUAGAGUUUGCGAGUGAAAGUCACGAACUGGUGGUCCAAUGAAGCCUU
rnacentral:lncRNA from 1 species